rnacentral:ncRNA from 1 species
UUCUUCGGGGCAGGGUGUAAUUCCCUACCGGCGGUCAAAGUCCGCGACCCACUUUUUGUGGCUGAUCUGGUGAAAUUCCGGAACCGACAGUAUAGUCUGGAUGAGAGAAGAA